rnacentral:rRNA from 1 species
UACGUAGGGUGCAAGCGUUAAUCGGAAUUACUGGGCGUAAAGCGUGCGCAGGCGGUUGUGCAAGACAGAUGUGAAAUCCCCGGCUCAACCUGGGAACUGCAUUUGUGACUGCAUCGCUGGAGUGCGGCAGAGGGGGAUGGAAUUCCGCGUGUAGCAGUGAAAUGCGUAGAUAUGCGGAGGAACACCGAUGGCGAAGGCAAUCCCCGUGGGCC